UUUUUUUUUAUUAAGCAAAACCAUGAAUAUAUUCUGAUAAAGAAUCGAAGAAUAGGAAUUAGGAACUCACUGGCCACCAUGGAUAAGUCUAUUUACAUCAACGGUUAUGGGGCAAUCCAAGAACACGUUAUACCUGCAAAU